UGCGAAUCUACUGCCUACCAUGCUCGUCGAUAGCAGCAAAGGAGAGCUUGCUCUCUGGGUGGCGAGUGGCGGACGGGUGAGGAAUACAUCGGAAUCUACUUUUUCGUGGGGGAUAACGUAGGGAAACUUACGCUAAUACCGCAUACGACCUACGGGUGAAAGCAGGGGAUCUUCGGACCUUGCGCGAUUGAAUGAGCCGAUGUCGGAUUAGCUAGUUGGCGGGGUAAAGGCCCACCAAGGCGACGAUCCGUAGCUGGUCUGAGAGGAUGAUCAGCCACACUGGAACUGAGACACGGUCCAGACUCCUACGGGAGGCAGCAGUGGGGAAUAUUGGACAAUGGGCGCAAGCCUGAUCCAGCCAUACCGCGUGGGUGAAGAAGGCCUUCGGGUUGUAAAGCCCUUUUGUUGGGAAAGAAAUCCAGCUGGUUAAUACCCGGUUGGGAUGACGGUACCCAAAGAAUAAGCACCGGCUAACUUCGUGCCAGCAGCCGCGGUAAUACGAAGGGUGCAAGCGUUACUCGGAAUUACUGGGCGUAAAGCGUGCGUAGGUGGUCGUUUAA
rnacentral:rRNA from 1 species